GAAAUCACCCAGGUAGGUGUUGUGUGGUAGGGUGUGCACAUCGGGGAGGGGGGGGGAGUUACCUGCUCUCCAGUGCCACUCUCACUGCAGCCUGUGCCGCUCCUUACAGCUGUCCCACUUGGGCCAAGGCACAAGGACCAAUGUGUAUGAGGGCCUGCUAAGUGUGGGAGGCCCCAAUGAGGGCAAAGUGGACAGUGGAUGCCCCUCUGGGCCUGAUAGGGGCAGUGGGCAGCAGCUUCGAGUGGUGCUCAAAGUCCUCGACCCUAGUCACCAUGAUAUCGCCUUGGCCUUCUAUGAGACUGCCAGCCUCAUGAGCCAGGUGUCACACAUGCACCUGGCUUUCCUGCAUGGUGUCUGCGUGCGUGGCUCAGAGAAUAUCAUUGUAGCGGAAUUCGUAGAGCACGGUCCCCUGGAUGUGUGGU
rnacentral:lncRNA from 1 species